AUUUAUAUAGUUUAACUUAAAACUCUUCAUUUUCAAUGAAAAAAUAGGAAUUUUCCUUAUAAAUA
rnacentral:tRNA from 1 species